rnacentral:rRNA from 1 species
UGCAAGUCGAACGAUGAAGCCCAGCUUGCUGGGUGGAUAGUGGCGAACGGGUGAGUAACACGUGAGUAACCUGCCCCCGACUCUGGGAUAAGCCCGGGAAACUGGGUCUAAUACCGGAUAUUACCUUUGACCGCAUGGUUGUUGGUGGAAAGAUUUAUCGUGGGGGAUGGACUCGCGGCCUAUCAGCUUGUUGGUGAGGUAAUGGCUCACCAAGGCGACGACGGGUAGCCGGCCUGAGAGGGUGACCGGCCACACUGGGACUGAGACACGGCCCAGACUCCUACGGGAGGCAGCAGUGGGGAAUAUUGCACAAUGGGCGAAAGCCUGAUGCAGCGACGCCGCGUGAGGGAUGACGGCCUUCGGGUUGUAAACCUCUUUCAGUAGGGAAGAAGCGAAAGUGACGGUACCUGCAGAAGAAGCGCCGGCUAACUACGUGCCAGCAGCCGCGGUAAUACGUAGGGCGCAAGCGUUAUCCGGAUUUAUUGGGCGUAAAGAGCUCGUAGGCGGUUUGUCGCGUCUGCCGUGAAAGUCCGAGGCUCAACCUCGGAUCUGCGGUGGGUACGGGCAGACUAGAGUGAUGUAGGGGAGACUGGAAUUCCUGGUGUAGCGGUGAAAUGCGCAGAUAUCAGGAGGAACACCGAUGGCGAAGGCAGGUCUCUGGGCAUUUACUGACGCUGAGGAGCGAAAGCAUGGGGAGCGAACAGGAUUAGAUACCCUGGUAGUCCAUGCCGUAAACGUUGGGCACUAGGUGUGGGGGACAUUCCACGUUUUCCGCGCCGUCAUGAACGCAUUAAGUGCCCCGCCUGGGGAGUACGGC